GUGCCAGCCGCCGCGGUAAUACAGAGGUCUCAAGCGUUGUUCGGAUUCAUUGGGCGUAAAGGGUGCGUAGGUGGCGCCGUAAGUCGGGUGUGAAAUUUCGAGGCUUAACCUCGAAACUGCAUUCGAUACUGCGGUGCUUGAGGACUGGAGAGGAGACUGGAAUUCAUGGUGUAGCAGUGAAAUGCGUAGAGAUCAUGAGGAAGACCAGUGGCGAAGGCGGGUCUCUGGACAGUUCCUGACACUGAGACACGAAGGCCAGGGGAGCAAACGGGAUUAGAAACCCGCGUAGUCC
rnacentral:rRNA from 1 species